rnacentral:rRNA from 1 species
GGUGAACCUGCGGAAGGAUCAUUACUGAUUUGCUUAAUUGCACCACAUGUGUUUUUCUUUGAAACAAACUUGCUUUGGCGGUGGGCCCAGCCUGCCGCCAGAGGUCUAAACUUACAACCAAUUUUUUAUCAACUUGUCACACCAGAUUAUUACUUAAUAGUCAAAACUUUCAACAACGGAUCUCUUGGUUCUCGCAUCGAUGAAGAACGCAGCGAAAUGCGAUACGUAAUAUGAAUUGCAGAUAUUCGUGAAUCAUCGAAUCUUUGAACGCACAUUGCGCCCUCUGGUAUUCCGGAGGGCAUGCCUGUUUGAGCGUCGUUUCUCCCUCAAACCGCUGGGUUUGGUGUUGAGCAAUACGACUUGGGUUUGCUUGAAAGACGGUAGUGGUAAGGCGGGAUCGCUUUGACAAUGGCUUAGGUCUAACCAAAAACAUUGCUUGCGGCGGUAACGUCCACCACGUAUAUCUUCAAACUUUGACCUCAAAUCAGGUAGGACUACCCGCU